GGCACAGUGCCAGAGUGGUUAAUGGGUUGGACUUGAAUCUUGUGCUUCGAGUGAUCCAAUGGCUUCGGCCUCGCAAGUUCGAAUCUUGUCUGUGUCG